UACGAAGGGGGCUAGCGUUGUUCGGAAUUACUGGGCGUAAAGCGCGUGUAGGCGGGUCUUUAAGUCAGGGGUGAAAUGCCAAGGCUCAACCUUGGAACUGCCUUUGAUACUGGAGACCUUGAGUCCGGGAGAGGUGAAGUGGAAUUGCGAGUGUAGAGGUGAAAUUCGUAGAUAUCGGGAGGAACACCGGUGGCGAAGGCGGCAUCCUGGACCAACAUUGACGCUGAC
rnacentral:rRNA from 1 species